rnacentral:rRNA from 1 species
UUGCCCGAUGAACCUGAAUAUCCGUUAUGGAAAAUUCAUCAUUAAAGUUGUAAUAUUUUAACAAUAUUAUAAUAAUAGUGUGCAUUUUUUCCAUAUAAGGACAUUGUAAUCUAUUAGCAUAUAACAAAUUUAUCAUAAAAUAUGACUUAUAGUUUAUUCAAAUUAUUAUGCUUGCAUUUUAACAUAGAAUAAAUGUCAUUAAUUUGAUAAAGUGUUGAUAAAUUAAAAUUAAUACAGUGCGUUAAUUUUUCGAAAUUAUAUAAUGGCAUAAUUAUCAUUGAUUUUUGUGUUUUAUUAUGCAU